GACGAGCGCUGGCGGCGUGCUUAACACAUGCAAGUCGAACGGUAAGGCUCCAGCUUGCUGGGGUACACGAGUGGCGAACGGGUGAGUAACACGUGGGUGACCUGCCCUGCACUUCGGGAUAAGCCUGGGAAACUGGGUCUAAUACCGGAUAGGACCAUGGUGUGGAUACUGUGGUGGAAAGUUUUUUCGGUGUGGGAUGGGCCCGCGGCCUAUCAGCUUGUUGGUGGGGUAAUGGCCUACCAAGGCGGCGACGGGUAGCCGGCCUGAGAGGGUGGACGGCCACAUUGGGACUGAGACACGGCCCAGACUCCUACGGGAGGCAGCAGUGGGGAAUAUUGCACAAUGGGCGGAAGCCUGAUGCAGCGACGCCGCGUGGGGGAUGACGGCCUUCGGGUUGUAAACUCCUUUCACCAUCGACGAAGGGUUUCUGACGGUAGAUGGAGAAGAAGCACCGGCUAACUACGUG
rnacentral:rRNA from 1 species